CCUACGGGUGGCUGCAGUGAGGAAUAUUUGUCAAUGGGCGCGAGCCUGAACCAGCCAAGUCGCGUGAGGGAAGACGGCCCUACGGGUUGUAAACCUCUUUUGUCGGGGAGCAACGGGCGCCACGUGUGGCGCCACUGAGAGUACCCGUAGAAAAAGCAUCGGCUAACUCCGUGCCAGCAGCCGCGGUAAUACGGAGGAUGCGAGCGUUAUCCGGAUUUAUUGGGUUUAAAGGGUGCGUAGGCGGAGCGUUAAGUCAGUGGGAAAAUUUAGGGGUUAAACCCCUUCCCGCCAUUGAAACUGGCGCUCUUGAGUGGAAGAGAAGUAUGCGGAAUGCGUGGUGUAGCGGUGAAAUGCAUAGAUAUCACGCAGAACCCCGAUUGCGAAGGCAGCAUGCCGGCUUCCUACUGACGCUGAAGCACGAAAGCGUGGGGAUCGAACAGGAUUAGAUACCCUGGUAGUC
rnacentral:rRNA from 1 species